rnacentral:rRNA from 1 species
UUGGAGGGCAAGUCUGGUGCCAGCAGCCGCGGUAAUUCCAGCUCCAAUAGCGUAUAUUAAAGUUGUUGCAGUUAAAAAGCUCGUAGUUGAACCUUGGGUCUGGCUGGCCGGUCCGCCUCACCGCGAGUACUGGUCCGGCUGGACCUUUCCUUCUGGGGAACCUCAUGGCCUUCACUGGCUGUGGGGGGAACCAGGACUUUUACUGUGAAAAAAUUAGAGUGUUCAAAGCAGGCCUUUGCUCGAAUACAUUAGCAUGGAAUAAUAGAAUAGGACGUGCGGUUCUAUUUUGUUGGUUUCUAGGACCGCCGUAAUGAUUAAUAGGGAUAGUCGGGGGCGUCAGUAUUCAGCUGUCAGAGGUGAAAUUCUUGGAUUUGCUGAAGACUAACUACUGCGAAAGCAUUCGCCAAGGAUGUUUUCAUUAAUCAGGGAACGAAAGUUAGGGGAUCGAAGACGAUCAGAUACCGUCGUAGUCUUAACCAUAAACUAUGCCGACUAGGGAUCGGACGGGAUUCUAUAAUGACCCGUUCGGCACCUUACGGGAAAC